AUUAAGUCCUCAUGGUCUAGAUGCCUCUGUCAUGAGAUCUUUACUUCCCCCUCUGGAUGGUUCAGAUUCUCAAGUUAUUUCUCGUUGCCUAGGUGAUACCUCUGAUUGGAUGCCUUUCGCUCUUUUUUUCUUUUAAAGGGAUAAACCUGACACUAUUUCUAGGUCCCAUGAGAGGGCUCUGCCCUAGAGAACGUGUGCCUCUUUGAGCAUGCAGUCCCUUCGGUGUGACCGCAGCCAUCGCUCAGGCACAGGUGGGGGUGCUCGCAAGCUGGCCUGAGUCACAGUGGAUCCUGGAAGCGUGGCUCUCUAGAAACCUACCUUUCAGGAUUUAGCAACACUGACCUCUCUCCUGGCUGCUCCACCCUCCUGGCUUCACCUCCAGAAACUGAUAGGCUCUGGAAACCUCCAGCUACAGAAGAUAAACUCAGCAAGUCUCCAUUCCUGCAGCUUGGGAAGGGCCGACAUCACCUUUCUUGGAGAGUUGAGAGCAGAAGAUGGUGUCAGACUCUGGGACCUCCACUAGCAAGUAAUGUGGACAUAUUACUUCUCCCUCUGAAAGUGGCCUGAUGACAGCCUUCCUCAGAAGGUUAUGAGGAGUAGAUGAGGACGGGGCUCCCACAUGCUUCCCACAGUGCCUAGGACAUGGAAGAAGAAAUUAGAACAUAGACAUGCAUGGAGAGAAGUCUAUGUGAAGACGCAGAGAGAAGACAGCCACCCUACAUGUCAAGGAGAGAGGUCUUGAACUUCUGGCCUCCAGAAUUAUGAGAAAAGAAGCCAUGCAGAGAGAAGACAGCCACUCUACAUGUCAAAGAGAGAGGUCUUGAACUUCUGGCCUCCAGAAUUAUGAGAAAAGCUGACCAAUACAGCCUGUUUGCUAAGCUGCAGCAGCCCUGUGUUGCUGCACCUUGCUUAUUCUGUGUUUUGCAGCAGCGUUGGUAGCAGGGAGCUCAGAUGCAAAGCUUAGUUUCUGAGCCUUGAUCAGGAGGCUGUGUUUAUAUUUAUCCUGCUAACUUCAGGGGACUGUUUAUACCCAGAGCAAUAACCUCCCAGGCGAGGUGG